AGGAUUUCUUGGGGUUCUCUCCUCCUCCCUGGACCCCGGGAAUUUGCGGCGACCCUCUCUCCUCCUCCCUGGGGGUCGCCGCUCCCCCUCCUCCUCCUUUAAA
rnacentral:ncRNA from 16 species